UAACACAUGCAAGUCGAGGGGCAGCGGGGAAAAGCUUGCUUUUCCGCCGGCGACCGGCGCACGGGUGCGCACCGCGUAUGGAACCUGCCUGUACAGGGGAAUAGCCCAGGGAAACUUGGAUUAAUGCCCCGUAGUACCGUAUUUCGGCAUCGUUAUACGGUUAAAGCCUUCGGGCGGUACAAGAUGGCCAUGCGUCCCAUUAGCUUGUUGGUAAGGUAACGGCUUACCAAGGCUACGAUGGGUAGGGGCCCUGAGAGGGGGAUCCCCCACACUGGUACUGAGACACGGACCAGACUCCUACGGGAGGCAGCAGUGAGGAAUAUUGGACAAUGGAGGAGACUCUGAUCCAGCCAUGCCGCGUGCAGGAAGAAUGCCCUAUGGGUAGUAAACUGCUUUUAUACGGGAAGAAAAAGAGCUACGUGUAGCUUACUGACGGUACCGUAAGAAUAAGGACCGGCUAACUCCGUGCCAGCAGCCGCGGUAAUAC
rnacentral:rRNA from 1 species